AAAAGUCAGAUGGAUGAACUUCGGCCUUGCAUAUGGUAAAAAUAAUUCAGCGAAAUUAAUGGGUAAACUGACGGUUGGAAGAUCAAAGUUAUGGUAAUGAGGCUCUGGAAGCAGACAUUCAGCAACAAUCUCAAUGUUAUUUCAAGUAUUGACAUGGUCUUGGUUGACGCCUGACGGGCAGUCAUUAUGCUUGCACCAAAUGCUCUAAAAAGGUUGAGCGUCUUUACCAACUGGUGGAUGAGAAUACCGA